rnacentral:lncRNA from 1 species
CUGACUUCCUUAACUUAGCUCUUUGUCUGCAAUGUCAUCUCAUCUUCUAUAAAUGAAGCUGUAUCAAAGCUUCCCAUGUAGAAAAUAGCCAACAUUCAAAUUCCUUUGCUAAGGCCAAGUGGAAAUGUUGCAUUGGCUUAUAAUAUUAAUUUGAGUGACUGGGGAUGAGACUCAACAUGCAGUUGUCUUUAUCUGUCAAAUGGGCACAGUGCCAUGAAGGAACCCAUGUCCUCUGGAUCCCUCUUUCUGAACUUCUUCCUGUGGGGAAGCCCAUUAGUAGAACUGGUUGGAAGUCUGGGGAGUAUCUCAUUGUGUUUUGAACUGGAGAGAGUUCCAGUGAGUGCUGAGAGACGUGUUUCCAACGGACUACUGAUGCCAAGAGUUGUGAGCUACUCUAUUGCCCUCUAUCCUUUAUCAAGAAGUGGCACAAUCUCUCUGGUGAAAUGAUAAAUAUAUUAUGUAUACGGAAAUCCUCUAAAAUAAUGAUGCCUCAAAGACUUCAAGAGACCAAAAGAAAUAACCAAUUUAAAGCAACUUGAAUUCAAGAUAGGUUUGGGUUAGUAAAUUUUAAUUUAGUAAAAAGUGUGGACUGUUCAUGUACCUUUCCUCUACUUCAUUCCACGUUGCAAUCUUGGCAAAGAUACUAUCUGAGCCAUUGUAACAAGGCUUUGACAUUUAUGUGUGCUUGGCCUUGAAUUCUGGCCCUGCAACUGCAUUUGAGCAUGGGCAUACCAUGAGAUUUCUC